AUAUAUAACUGGUCAAACGAGACAAAAUACUGUGUAACACGAUUUUUGUUCCUGGCAAGUAAGUGUCUUUUUCCAACUACAUCUAUUGCAAAA